AUUUUUACUGAAAUAUCUGAGAUCCGGCCUCCAAAAAGUGCAUAAAUAACACUUAAGUGCUAAUAACUUUUGAAAGGGUUGUCAGAUCCUCGAUGUAUUAGGCUCAUUUGAAAGGUCUUUCGAUUAUCUAACUAACGAUGGGUUGCAUGAUGUACCCGGACAUCAUUUUCACAGAAAUAUCUGAGAUCCGGCCUCCAAAAAGUGUACAAAUAACACUUAAGUGCUAAUAACUUUUGAUAGGGUUGUCAGAUCUUCAAUGUAUUGGGCUCAUUGGAAAGGUCUUUUUAAUACCUUUCUGAAAAUGUAUAACAUGAUAGGGUUUCUUGCAAAAACCACCCUUUUUACAAUCUUCCGGACAUACGCCAAAAUCGUUUUUUUAGCAUAACUUUUGAAGUACUUAACUAAACUUGCUAAUUUCAAAUAGAGACCUAUGGGACCCCAAGACGGAUCGAAUGAGACUAAUACGGUCAAAAUCCGUUGAUCCAGUCCGGAGAUAAUCGAGUGACAAUUUUUUUGUCCACCCACCUACACACAUCCACACAGACAUUUGCUCAGAACAUGAUUCUGAGUCGAUAGGUAUACGUGAAGGUGGGUCUACGAGGUCGAUUUAAGAAGUUCAUUUUUCGAGUGAUUUUAUAGCCUUUCCUCAGUAAGGUGAGGAAGGCAAAAACGGUUCUACAUACAAAUAUUAUCCAAACAAUGUUCCAUUGUAUUUAGAUUUUAAGCAGGGUUCUAUGUAGUCAACGUAUGUUUGACGAAUAAAUAAAUAAAGAACAAGUAUAAUAUAUUGCUACAGUUAAACACACAUAUAAAAAUAUAAGGAGAGAAUGUACAAGAUACGAAAUUCGAGAUAGCGGGCGACGAAAGUUAAAGUUGUUAUCAAUCAAAUUGAAUGUAAAUAACAUUCCUUACGUACGUCAGUUGGCAAAGCAAAGUAUGUUUAUCUCUAAAUCAAGGAAUCUUAUAUAUACGGAAUAAAUACAAAAAGCCAACCGCGGUAUGAAUCGUUAAAUUAUAACUUUAGAAUAACUACCAGGACAUAGCUGAAUGUGGCUUUUCGUAAAAUUCGUUUUUUUAAGGAAGAUUCCAGCGAUUUCAGUUUAUAAAAACGAUUUUCAUCUGAAGCCAAGUGAUAAAAAGCUAAAUAGGCGAAGAGCAAUCAAGGUUAUGUAAAAGAUUUAUAUAAUAUAAUUUGAAUAUAAGUAGAAUAUAAUUUGUAAAAGUAGUGGAUGGAAAUAGGACUGAGUUCUUAACAAACUAAACAUAUUUACUUUAACCCUUGGAUGAAGUAUUGUUCUGAAAUUUAUAUUAUUUAACAAUGCUAUUGAAUAAUGUCAUUCAAGCCUUGUGGAAACCCUAAACAAUUUUCAUCCAAUUUAUUGCAUUGUUUUAGCAUUAUUUGUGUACAGUUACUAUCCUUAGCUGAGAUAUAGACUACCCUUCAACAGAUAAUACAUUCAAAGUUAAGUAAAUCUAUCGCAGGAAAAAGAAACCUCCGAAUAGCCAAUAGAAGGGGGAUAGUUCGAUGAAAAGAGUAUUCUUAUAUCACAGUUUAAAUAACUGUAAAGAAGGAAGUUCACUGAAGUACCAUAACGACAUGACACACGUCUGUCAUAAAUACAUUAAUUUUAGUUAGGAGAGGAAGCCUUAUACAGUUUUCAGUCAAAUUGAUGUUAUAUUGAUACGGUUAAAUAUGUUACAAAGAGGUUUAUGAUUUCCUAUAUGCAUGAUAUACGUGGUUUUCAUUUUUUUAUUUUACUUUUCAGAGCUUGGUAUACUGCUCAUUUUUGUUUUUUUUUUAUUCAUUUUUUCCUUAUUUUAGUUGAAUCGGAGGAAGACAGGAAAGUUGGACGAUCAAUGAUUACGCAAAGAAGGGAACUGGAUCCGCAUCACUGGCAUCGUUGGUAUCGGCUGGUAUCAGCAUCAUUGGUAUCGGCAGCCUAAGCCGAUAGCCUUUGUUCUAUGGGAAGGACACUUCACCAGGCGUUGCAAAACUUGAGACGAGAAGCGGCAGAAAGGAUUUUAGUUAAACAUUAACUUUAUUGUUUCGUUAGUGUACUUAUUAUAACUUUCAAUUUGGCAAGGGGAGGAUGUGGCAUCCUGAACAUUGUGGUUCCUAAAUAUUAGUGUAGUUUAGGUAAACCGCUGGAAGCGUGUAGAACUGCGAGUGUAGUAGUGCGCAGCUGGCGUGAGGGAAGUCAGUCAGAGUUGGACCAAUAAAGAUGGAGCAUCUGUCUCCCGUUUGUAUUAUAAAUAAUAAAGUUUUAAUAUUGGAUUAAACUCGAGAAUAUCACAAGCACCAACCCUCAGAGUUUUGCAUCCAAAUAGGUACGUCGCGUUAAAACGUCCAGCAGGACAAGUUUACACAGAUCACGUGGGCCUAGGAGUUCUGCACCUGAUAAUAAUAUCAGCCACGCAGUUCCCUGACCCUUGAAUGCGGCAAGUUGCAGACAUUUGAUUUCCUGCUGAAUUAUAUUAAAUCGAUUUGGCACCGGGGUGCUCCGAUGCCUCUACACAUUCUGGACGUUCUGGAGGCGUUCCUUAACUACCACGGUCCUGUAAACCUGCGGCUAGACGGAAAAGCGAAUGUUUGUGUUUAAACGGUCGACUCGUCCGGAGGCGUCCGUACAGACUCCGUCAUCUUCUUAACGAUUCUGACUCAAAUCCUACCAGAGACGCGCAGGCGCAGAAUCGGUGCUAAAAGUUGGGGCUGCGGCCACUUUACGGCGGUCUUCUUCAAGAGUUGUACUCGUCGGCGCGGCUUGCCGAGGUCAUUGAACGCGUGCUCGACGCAAGAGGCGUGGUUCAGUUAAUCAUCGACAAACCGGUGAAGACACAACUUCUAAGACUACGAUGCUGCCACCUAAGUUCGCCUCGCGGACAAUUGCAUUCUAGGAGUCUACGGGCAACGGACUGGAUAAAACGUUCCACACAGAAAAAAAAAAUCCGGUAAAUUUACAUCAUUUAUGAUGUACCAAAAGUGCACGUCAUUAAUGAUGUGAAUUUACAUCAAAUUCAUUGUAAAUUUAAGUGUCUUCCAAUUUAAUCGUGCCGAACCAAAAGCGCUACAAAAACAUGUAAAUUUCCGAUGAAAUGUACGUAAAUUUACCCAAGCCAAAAAAUUUUUUUGCUCCGCUGAAUUUGGAAUUCGAUGUAAUUUUCAUGGUUUUAGUUUUUCAUGCUGCACUCAAAUGCUACUUCAAAAAAAUGCGUUUUCGAUUGGAUUAUAAGCAAUCAAAAAACAUUCCAAUGAAAAGCAUUUAAUGACAGUAUAAAAAUAAAAUAAUUUGAAAACAACAUCGAACGCCAAAUCCAACAGAGCAUCAAGAAUACAAUCUUACUAAACAUGAAUCAAUAUUAUCGAAGAAAUCAAAACAAAAUUAAAAUUUGUACCUGGGAAUUGAAUAGAUCGCUUUAAAGCAUAACCUUGGCAUUCUCUAUUGCAAGAUUUAUGCUCAAACCUGGUGUCUGAAGGCUUGCUCCCAUUUACCCCGGGAUUCGAAUUGUUGACCUUUCGAUUGUAAGUGCAACUGACGACAAUUAUUUCUACCGAAGCUGGUGUAUACUUUUUCCAGGAAGACGACUUCUAUACUUGGACUGACCUAACGUCCAAUAUUUGAAUUAAAACUGGGACUAACUGAAGUGAGAGGAAACAAUGCUAUCCACAAUCGAGUCUGGCUGAAAAAAACAUUUAAAAAAUCCAAACUUACUACAUUAUUUGUAUGUUGUCAUCAGCCGACACGAUGUCACUGGUCCAUGCUCUCGAUAUGGUUAUGCUGCCGUUGCUGUUGUAUUGUUUCAAUCACGGCCGGCCGUGAAACGUCGAAACCCUGCACAAGCUCGUCACAUAGUCAUCACUGAUCACCUGAAGCGUUGCCCCGUCCGCACCUCCUUGGCAGCACGUGACGUUAUGAUUAAACUCCGUUCCUAGUGCAAAAGUAGCCACCGGUUCCACCUCUGGUGCAACGCUCGCCGGAUGUAACAGCAUAAUUGAAGUUUUAGUGAAAUUCCUGUCUGUUGUUUACAUCGCGAGAGUGCCGUUUAACCCACCGUUUGAAGCGGAAGGCUUCAACAGAAGAACGGCCGCUUCUUCUAUGGGCAAAGUUGGCUCGACGUUUUCUUAUCUGCUUUUUUUACCGUUGGAGCUACCACCUCCUUCAUGGGAUCGCUCGUCAUGUUGGCCGGAACUAGCAAAAAUAUGGGCGAUUCCAAAAUCGGUCAACAACCAUACCUUUUUGCGACAGUUCCCCAGCAUUGCCGACUGGAUAAACAACUGCUUUGGCUCGUCUGCACCUUGAUCAAGCCGUGAAACCC